GAUGAAGAACGCAGCGAAAUGCGAUACGUAAUGUGAAUUGCAGAAUUCAGUGAAUCAUCGAGUCUUUGAACGCACAUUGCGCCCCCUGGUAUUCCGGGGGGCAUGCCUGUCCGAGCGUCAUUGCUGCCCUCAAGCACGGCUUGUGUGUUGGGCCUCCGCCCCCCGGCUCCCGGGGGGCGGGCCCGAAAGGCAGCGGCGGCACCGCGUCCGGUCCUCGAGCGUAUGGAGCUUCGUCACCCGCUCCGUAGGCCCGGCCGGCGCCCGCCGGCGACCCCCCUCAAUCUUUCCAGGUUGACCUCGGAUCAGGUAGGGAUACCCGCUGAACUUAAGCAUAUCAAUAAGCGGAGGA
rnacentral:misc_RNA from 1 species